CGCCAGGGGCGGCGGGCCCUACGAACCUUUGUAUCUCAACCACUAGAAAACCGUCUGAGGAAAAAAACAAAAUAAUCAAAACUUUCAACAACGGAUCUCUUGGCUCUGGCAUCGAUGAAGAACGCAGCGAAAUGCGAUACGUAAUGUGAAUUGCAGAAUUCAGCGAACCAUCGAAUCUUUGAACGCACAUUGCGCCCGCCAGCAUUCUGGCGGGCAUGCCUGUCCGAGCGUCAUUUCCCCCCUCACGCGCCCCGUUGCGCGCUGGUGUUGGGGCGCCCUCCGCCUGGCGGGGGGCCCCCGAAAGCGAGUGGCGGGCCCUGUGGAAGGCUCCGAGCGCAGUACCGAACGCAUGUUCUCCCCUCGCUCCGGACGCCCCCCAGGCGCCCUGCCGUGAAAACGCGCAUGACGCGCAGCUCUUUUACAAGGU
rnacentral:misc_RNA from 1 species